rnacentral:rRNA from 1 species
GCGAACGCUGGCGGCAGGCCUAACACAUGCAAGUCGAACGGAUCCUUCGGGAUUAGUGGCGGACGGGUGAGUAGCACGUGGGAACGUGCCCUUUGGUUCGGAACAACUCAGGGAAACUUGAGCUAAUACCGGAUGUGCCCUUCGGGGGAAAGAUUUAUCGCCAUUGGAGCGGCCCGCGUCUGAUUAGCUAGUUGGUGAGGUAACGGCCCACCAAGGCGACGAUCAGUAGCUGGUCUGAGAGGAUGAUCAGCCACACUGGGACUGAGACACGGCCCAGACUCCUACGGGAGGCAGCAGUGGGGAAUCUUGCGCAAUGGGCGAAAGCCUGACGCAGCCAUGCCGCGUGAAUGAUGAAGGUCUUAGGAUUGUAAAAUUCUUUCAGCGGGGACGAUAAUGACGGGACCCGCAGAAGGAGCUCCGGCGAACUUCGU